rnacentral:rRNA from 1 species
AUUGAACGCUGGCGGCAGGCCUAACACAUGCAAGUCGAGCGGAGCGGCGGACGGGCGAGUAAGUCCUAGGAAUCUGCCUGGUCGAGGGGGAUAACGUCCGGAAAGGGGCGCUAAUACCGCAUACUAUCAGAUGAGCCUUGGUCGGAUUAGCUAGUUGGUGGGGUAAAGGCCUACCAAGGCGACGAUCCGUAACUGGUCUGAGAGGAUGAACAGUCACACUGGAACUGAGACACGGUCCAGACUCCUACGGGAGGCAGCAGUGGGGAAUAUUGGACAAUGGGCGAAAGCCUGAUCCAGCCAUGCCGCGUGUGUGAAGAAGGUCUUCGGAUUGUAAAGCACUUUAAGUUGGGAGGCGUUACCAACAGAAUAAGCACCGGCUAACUUCGUGCCAGCAGCCGCGGUAAUUC